GAGACCUUGUCUCCAAAAACCAAAAUAAAUAAAUUGAUAAAAUAACAAAACACCAUAAUGGGUGUGAACAUUUUUAGAGGGGCAUGAAAGCCAGCUGAGAACAAAGUAAGGUUCAGAAGGAGUGGUCAGUCUGCAUCAGCCGCCUCCGGCGACUCCGCUCCACCGUUCACCCUCCUGAGUUCUGGGGGAGGCACCUUCCUGCCUCUCUGUCCAGGAAGCAGCCCCCCUGCUGCCCUACUCUGCCCCUUCCUCGAGGCUCACGUAGUGCGAGCAGCCCUGGGGAGACCCGUGUGGCGGCCACUUGGAGGGCACUGGGAGAGGUUUGCUUGGCAGCUCUCCCUGCCCGGGCUUAGCACCACCUUGCACAGGACUCAGAGUUCCAGGCCGUUCUGCAGGGGCUGCUGAGGAGGGCGGGAGGAGGGGUGGGGCUGGCGUGAUCUGUGAGUGCCCGGUCACUGCCAUAACGGCGCCCUGACCCAGCCACUGGCGUCUGGAGGUGCCCGAGAACCGGGGCAUAGCGGGGCAGGAGGCCCAGCCCUUAGCCCCACUCCGAUCACACCAUUCCCUGCGAGCACACAGCCCCGCCCGUGCCAGUCCAGAUGCACCUGCUGUAGCAGGUAGCGCGGCUCCAGGUGGCACCGAGGUGUCUGACCCUCCUUGGAGCACAGAGAGCUCCAGGUCACCAGGAGCUCGGCAGAAAACCGUGCAGACACGAACAGCCUCCGCCUGGUGCCCAGCUGCGGGGCCUCUGCCGGGGACUCUCGUGUCCUGGACUGGUACCUCUGUCUCCAGGAUGCUCUGCGCCAGGCCUUCCUGCCCUUCUGUCCAGGAGGACGCCAGAGGCUCAGCAACACAGCUUCGGGGCCCAUCAAAGUCCUCCUGUUUAGAGGGACAGCCUGCCACCCCCAGCCACCUCCUGCCAUGCCCGGGACGACAGGCCCCACCACCUUGGCUGUGUCCUGAGAGUGCCCUGAAGAGUUCGGCCCCGACUGGGCAGGGCUGCCCAGGAGCCAGGCAAGUUAACCAUUGACUGGGGCUGGGGAGGAAGUGGCCGCACUGGGGCGCAAAACCCAGGACCCUCUUCCUCUGCAGGGCCGCUAAUGGCCCUUGUCCACCCUGGACGGGACCGGGAGCUGCUCCCACCGCACAGUCAGACACCCACGGUCCAGGCUGCGUGGGUCACUGGGGCCGGAGCUGGGGAAGCUCCAGGGGGGCGGAGAGAAAACGCUGGCGGGAGGAGCGCUUGCUUGGAGCCCCCGCCUGACUGAACGGAGGGCGCUGUGCACCCCGCAGGCAGCACUGGGGCCGCGCCUCAGUGUCCCCACUGCCCGCCCUCUGUAACCCGGUACUUGUACCUGUAAUUCGGGCCGCGUCCCUGCAGAAGGAGCCGAGCGCAGAAGCCUCGGGGAGAGGCUGAAGUGGGGAGCAGAGGCGCCCUCAGGGUGCCCAGGCCGAGCCUGGCAGCGGGGGCACAGCUGCUGUCACGGACAGAGACAGGUGCAGGAGCCGAACCUGCCCCGCGCAGCGCCCAGGCUUUCACUAUGUGGCGCAGGCUGGCCUCGAACUCACAGCGAUCCUCCUGCCUCAGCCUCCUGAGUGCUGGGACUACAGCGUGCACCACCAGAUCCCGCUCCUUUCCCCAAUUUAAAUCUUUACCAGCCGCCUUUCAGACCUGUCCCACCAGCCACAGCCCUGCUUCUUACUGCCAGAAAGUGGCAAGGAGGGAAAGAAUUUGAGGGAGAUUCAUAGCAGUACUAAAGCAUUUUUACUGUAAUGAAAAUGUUUCGAGGGCUGGAGAUUUAUUGACCUCAGUGGUACCACC